rnacentral:rRNA from 1 species
GCUGGCAGCUAGUUCUCUGCAACUCUCACAUGGUCGCCUACUGAAACUAAGCAAGCAGGGCUGAGCCUGGUCAGUAGCUACCUGGAUGGGAGACCACAUGGGAAAGCUAUGGCUGCUGCUGGAA